rnacentral:misc_RNA from 1 species
GAAAUGCGAUAAGUAAUGUGAAUUGCAGAAUUCAGUGAAUCAUCGAAUCUUUGAACGCACAUUGCGCCCUUUGGUAUUCCGAAGGGCAUGCCUGUUCGAGCGUCAUUACACACCUCAAGCUCUGCUUGGUAUUGGGCCCUCGUCCGUCAGGGACGGGCCUCAAAAUCCUCGGCGGCGGUGCCCGGCUUUGAGCGUAUGGGGACUUUUGUCACACGUUUGCGGUGCGGACCGGCGCCUGCUUGACUUUUCUGAUUAUCCAGGUUGACCUCGGAUCAGGUAGGGAUACCCGCUGAACUUAAGC